GACGAACGCUGGCGGCGUGCUUAACACAUGCAAGUCGAACGGGCCUGUCUUCUUUUUUGGGGGGUGGGUUGAGUGGCGAACGGGUGAGUAUCACGUGAGUAACCUGCCCUUCGGUCCUGGAUAACCGCUUGAAAGGGCGGCUAAUACGGGGUGGUCCGGUUGGUCCGCAUGGGCUGGUCGGGAUAGAUUCACUGUUUUUGGUGUUUCGGCGGGGGAUGGGCUCGCGGCCUAUCAGCUUGUUGGUGGGGUGAUGGCCUACCAAGGCGGGGGCGGGUAGCCGGCGUGGGAGGGUGGGCGGCCACACGGGGACUGAGAUACGGCCCAGACUCCUGCGGGAGGCAGCAGUGGGGGGUAUUGCACAAUGGGCGGAAGCCUGAUGCAGCGACGUCGCGUGAGGGAUGGAGGCCUUCGGGUUGUGAACCUCUGUUUCCGGUGGUGAAGGCCCUGUCCGUGUGGUGGGGUUGACGGUAGCCGGGGAUGAAGCGCCGGCUAACUACGUG
rnacentral:rRNA from 1 species